AGCAGCCACUCAUUAAAAGAGUGCGUAAUAGCUCACUGGUCGAGUGACUCUGCGCCGAAAAUUUAACGGGGCUAAACUAUACACCGAAGCUUGGGAUACAUCUAAUGUAUGGUAGGAGAGCGUUCUGUAUGGGGAGAAGUCGUAGCGAAAGCGGCGGUGGACUAUACAGAAGUGAGAAUGCCGGAAUAAGUAGCGAGAAUUAAGUGAGAAUCUUAAUGGCCGAAAGUCUAAGGUUUUUGGAGGAAGGUUCGUCCGCUCCAAGUAAGUCGGGAGCUAAGGUCAGGCCGAAAGGCGUAGCCGAUGCACAUACGGUUGAUAUUCCGUAACCAUCUGUAAUUUAAGCAAAGGGACACUUCAAAAGGGUGUGACCCGGGCGUUGGUUGACCCGGGCGUAAGGGACCGAAAUUAGAGUAGGGAAGCACACUUAGCUGAAGGCGAGAAAAGCUUUGCGUAUAGAAACAGAUGCCCGUACCGCAAACCGACACAGGUGGACAGGAAGAGAAUUCUAAGGCCAGCGGGAGAAGGGUAGUUAAGGAACUCGGCAAAUUGACUCCGUAACUUCGGAAUAAGGAGUGCUCGAAAGAGCCGCAGAGAAUAGGCCCAGGCGACUGUUUAGCAAAAACACAGGUCUCUGCCAAAUCGAAAGAUGAAGUAUAGGGGCUGACACCUGCCCGGUGCCGGAAGGUUAAGAGGAGGAGUGAGAGCUCCGAAUUGAAGCCCCGGUAAACGGCGGCCGUAACUAUAACGGUCCUAAGGUAGCGAAAUUCCUUGUCGGGUAAGUUCCGACCCGCACGAAUGGUGUAACGAUCUGGGCACUGUCUCAACUACCCACCCGGCGAAAUUGUAGUACCGGUGAAGAUGCCGGUUACCUGCGGCAAGACGGAAAGACCCCAUGGAGCUUUACUGUAGCCUGAUAUUGGGUUUCGGAAAUCUAUGUACAGGAUAGGCGGGAGACUAGGAAACAUGAGCGUCAGCUUGUGUGGAGUCGAUGUUGGGAUACCGCCCUUAGGUUUCUGGAAUUCUAACCUGCGGCCGUGAAUCCGGUCGGGGGACAUUGUCAGGUGGGCAGUUUGACUGGGGCGGUCGCCUCCGAAAAGGUAACGGAGGCGCUCAAAGGUUAGCUCAGCACGGACGGAAACCGUGCCUCUGAGUGUAAACGCAAAAGCUAGCCUAACUGCGAGGGUGACGGCCCGAGCAGUAACGAAAGUUGGAGUUAGUGAUCCGGCGGUAUGUGAAUGGAAAUGCC
rnacentral:rRNA from 1 species